AUUUCCGCCUCUACUUGCCCCCAAAAUUUUCAGUUCCCGCUCCUCUGCCUAUUUUUUUUCAAUUCCCUUUAAUAUCUUACCAAAAUUCAGAAUGAAUUGAAACAAAAUCUCUUUAUCCCCCCAUAAAUCUACUCGAUCUAUAUUCUCGAAGAAAUCAAUUUUUCUUUUCAGGUCUCUCUAUCUUAACGAUGGAAACCAAAUUUCUUUCGUUUAAUCGUUUUAAUAGGUUAUUUUUCUUUUUCUUAAUCUUUCGUGGUUCGGAGAAAUAGUUGAUGGUUCUUUCUUGUUUGAUUUCGGUAUCUGAUUUCGCAUUAGGGAUUGUUUUUGUUUGAUUUCGAGAUUUGAUUUGGUAUUAGGGUUUUUUAUUGUCGAAGAUCCUGAAUCUUUUCCUUAUUAAUCCUAAUCCGAAGUAUAAAACACAAGUAUGGAAGAAGGGAACACCGUUGACAUAAUCAACAAAAGUAUAAACAAAAGGUUUGUCUUUUUGGUUAAGUUCUUUUCUUCUUGUGAAUGUUUGGAUAAGUGAAAGAUUAAAUUUGAGUAUUAUAUAUUUAAGGGUCUAUUUUUUCUGAUGAAACACCACAGGUCUAUUCUAUUGAGCUUGAAGGUAAUUUGUCCGUCACAAAAUUUGUCCCAGAAAUUUUUCUGAAUUCUCAAUUUCACAAAAUUAAGAAUAAUUUUGAAUUAAUCAAACGAAUUGUUCACCAAUCCAAUUGAAUACACUCAAACGAAUAAAUUGGUAGUUCAGAGUUCUUCAAAAUUUCCAUUACAUCGAUCAGAAUCCAUUGAUUUCUUCAUCAUAUCUAUAGAAAAAAGCAGAGAAAUUUCAUAAGAUACUUUUAAGGAGAUUAUUACAAUUCUUAUACCCAUUGCAUUGAUGCUGAUGCUUGAUGGUAAUGGUGAAGAUACAUUAUUGGCCGAUUGUGAAGUUAAUCUGAAGAACCUCAAUUUGCUGGGAAUGGAGUUGAUGUUUUAGUUCACGACUCUACUACUGCUAAACAACUUCUGUCUGAAGUCACUGCUCUAAAGAUCUACACACACGGCAGGAGAAAAUGGUUGUUCAGUCCCUGAAGCUGCUGCUUCAAGGGUGGAAGCUUUUUCAAGACUCUUAACUUCUUCCAAUUUUUAUUAGACUACAAAGAUUCAAGACAGUUCAGGGUCUUUCCGUUGGGAUCCUUUUUUUGCGCUGCAGAAAUCUGACACCUUCUUAACCAUGCUUUUGCUGCUGUCAUGUCGUUGGUUGAUCUAGCGGAAGGAAAUCUUGAUAACAUUAUCGCACAUCUUCUGUGGUUCAUAUGCUAGCGGAAUGUGUUGGACUUCUUUGGUUUGAGACCUGGGGAACAUGAGCAUUGUUGGGAAUGAGGCUUGACAUGAUUUAUCAGGAGGUAUUAUAUACCCGUAAAACCUUACAUGUAUAAACAGUGGUAUGAUAAAUGUGCAAGAAAUUUAUAGGUGACUUGGGUUUCGCACAAUUUUAUGAGCAGUGUCAAGCAGAAAAUGGAGUGCAUGCCAUGUAAGAGUUUGAUGGAAUUGUCUAGCAUGUGUUUCUUCGUCGGCCUCCCACUGCUGCAGCAGUCAUCUAGUUAUGUUUACUUGUGAAUUUCUGAUUUUUCUUUUGUUUGUUUCCCUUUUUGAUAAGGGGAUGGGACAGAGAUAACAAUCGUUGUUGUGCAACAUCAUUUCCUUCAAUUGGCUUGAGCUGCGAAUGUUUUCAAGGUUUAACAAAACUGAACUUUUGUGUUUCUGUUGUUGGUUCCUUUUCACUUUGUGGUUCACUUUUGAUAAAUUAGUUCAUCACUCUAACAAUGCUUACUGAGGAUAAUGUUCCAUGAAAAUAUUUUGAAUUCUAACUAAGUUCAAUUCAAACUGUUGUGAGAAGUUGGGAACAGGGCUGAGCAUAUCUUAUUAAAAAUUAAUCCAUUCUUGAUGGCUACAUUUCCCCUUCUGUCAUGUGGAUAUUUUUGUAGUUCAUAUCAAGAGGUAUGUCUAAUUACAUUCCUCAUAUCUUCUCCAUUCCUCACAAAAGUAUACCUAUUGCUAGACAAGAUUUUAUGUGGUUCUGUACAAGUCCUAAUAAAAGAAGUUGCAUGUACAAUCCCUUGUUGAUUUUAUAUGGUUGUGUACAAGUCCUCAGAUAAAAAAGUUAGCUGUACAAGUUAGCAGCAGCAAAGGCGUUGUAACAAAUCCAUUUGUGCGUUUAUAUUUUCCUUCUUUUCAAAUUUGCAGUUUUGAGUUGUUGCUUUGCUUUAUCUUUUACUAUGAUCUCACAAGUCUUAUAUUAAUACUAAAUUAAUUGAGGACAUUAUGAAAAUCAUAAAGAGGACACACUCGUUGAGGAAAGCUGGAUAAAAUUCUUGUAAAAAUGGGUAUAUACAUAUUCACCGGCUAGUCUUUUGUUUUUCACUCAUAAUCAGUUUACUCGUACUAUGUUAAUGAUCCCUAUAUGUUUAAAUGGUACAAAUUUUUUUUUAAAAGAAUCUAGUUCCUAGGACUCUUGCAGUUAGCGCUGAUUGGUGGUGCUGCUAGUUGUUAGAAUUUUUAUUAGGAAUGAAAAACAAGAUCCAGCAAAGAACUGAAUAUUUGUUUGAAUGAAGUGAUAUUGUAGAAGCGAAGUUCCUAACUAUUUAAACAGACUAAACCACCCUUGGAACAAUUUCUAGAUCUAAAUCACUUUCUAAAUGCUGUCUCAGGUAAUGGAACAUGUUGCUGGAGUUCUUGCAGGCUUGUUAAAAGGUGGGGAUGAGUGACUGGUCAGUGAAUUCUGUAGUAAAGCAUUUUUGGAAGCCUUCACUAUUUCAAAAGAAGGAAAGGAAGAGAGUCUCAAGUUCAAAACAGUGACAUGAAAAAUCCCCCUUUACCAGCGUUAAGCGGUGUUAACUACCAUGUUAACCAGUGUCUCCAUUAUCAUUCCCAUUUUCAUUUUUAUUUUGAAUUAUAGUAUCGAUCAAUUUCUGAGCUUUACCUAUGUCUAGAUUUUUUAUGUCCUUUUACUUUGUAUGCUCUGUGCAGGAAGACCUUCGUUAGCAUCUGCAGAUGUAGACCCCUCUGCUGCACCACAUCCUAAAUAGUAUAUGGAGCCGUUAGUGAUUCGCAUUGCUGGCUGUAAAAGAAUGCAAGGAAAGGAUAUAGUCGUGUGGUUAGGUAUAUGUACCGAUGGACCAGUUCACUAUUAAGACAAUUGUAAUUAAGUUAAUUGUCAUGGAGUGAUGGUCUAAACCGCGUUGUGAUGGUAUGAUAUUGUAAAUUAUAGUGCAAAUGCAAUCUUCGUUUCCGUUGGUUUUCAGCAA